UAAAUCCUAGGAUGGAGAUGGGAUUUUAAAAUAUAUUUUUGGAUGAAUGUGGUAGACUGAAUAAUGACCCCAAAGGUAUCCCCGUCCUAAUCCCUGGAACCUGGAAUGUUACCUAAUUAUGGCAAAAGGGACUUAGCAGAUGUGAGUAAAUUAAGGACCUUGAGAUGGGGAAAUUAUCCUGGAUAAUCUAAGUGGGCCCUAAAUGCCAUCACAAAUGUCCUUAUAGGAAAGGGAAGCAGAGGCUUACUUGACUACAGAGAGGAAAAGGCGAUGUGGCAAUGGCAGCAGAGAUUCGAGCUAUGCACUUUGAAGAUAGAGGACAGGGCCAGACGCUGAGGACACAGGUGCUGCUAGAAGCUGAAAAAGGCAGAGAAACAGAUUUCUCCUCUCAAAGGUCCAGAAAGGAGUGACAACGGAGCCCAAUUAUGCAGAAUUUCUUUUAAUAAUGGAGCAGAACGUGCAUACUUUCCAGAGGCACGGCCAGCCAGAAGCCACUGUCACCUUUUCUGUGGAACAAAGGGAUAAAUUCAUCCAUUCCUGCCUCUGUCCAGACAGCCACUCAGCAUUUACUGAAUUGUACACCAGGACGGGUGUUCGUGCUAGGGAAGUUCUCUCUCCAAACACAGCCCCAAAGGGAGUUCCUUAAGUGCUAUGAGACCUUGUCUACAGCUGAUUGCAUUGGAUAUGGAUGCCUGACCCAAGAUGAGCCAGCCACAUUUAAACCAAAGACAUAGAGACCACAUUCGUUGUCUUGGAAACUUGAACUAGAAAGGCAAGUAGUCGUGAAUGCUGAGACCUGCACUGUGUGGCCUCCACGAUGGGCCAAACACAGGCAUUGGUGCAAGCUGUCAGCACAGGAAGACAACAAGGGGACUCCUCUGUCUUAACCAGAGAUCUGAGUACAAAGAAAUGUCUCUCAGUUAUGAAUCAAGAAUUCUGAAUCAAGAACCUAUGCCUUCCUUGAGUUUGAGUUUUGAAUUUAUGCUGAAUUUGUGGUCUAAGAAUGUUUGAGAUGAGCUAGUAACAAGAAAAUGUGAUUCUAGACCACGAUGCCACACAACUGUGAACCAAAUGCAGAAAUCUCUACUGACUUACCCUCAGUGGAGGCCACACACACGGGAUUCCCAUAAAGAAGGCAACAGUGAAGACAAGCUUACCCUCCAAAAUUACAAAACGUGUUAGCAAACGAUCCCCUGAUGGUGAACCAACAGAUAGAACACACUUAGGAUCAGAUUGCCAGUAACUUCAGAUAGCAGAUCUGUUGUUUCAGGACUGUAAGUGUGUUUAAAAUGUUAGAGACAUAAAAUAAGGAAUUAGAAACUUAAUAAAUGUGCAAGGUUCAUGUAAAAAGAAAAUACAGGUUUGAAAAAGAAAAAUUCUAGAAGCAAUAACUACAGUCAUUAAUUUGAAUAGAUUAGAUAUGGCUAAAGAGAAAAUUAAUAUGCUGGAAGAGACAUCUGAUUCCAAUUCAGAAUAUAUCACAAAGACAAAAACGUAUGAGAGAGUAAUUAAAGAUAUGGGUGAUAAAAUGAGAAAUAAUAAGAAUCUCAAGAAAGUAGAGAAUGAGGAAAAGAAAUACUCAAAGACAAAAAAGGCUGAGGAUUUUCUAUAAUGGUUAAAAGAUAAGGAUCACAAGAUUCAGAACGCUACAGCAAGCCAUGAGCUGAAUAAAUAAGAGCAAAUCCAAACCUUGAGUCCACUAUCAUGAAAAUGCAGAACACCAAAGCCAAAGAGUUCUCAAAGCAACUGCAGAGAGAAGGCAUAUUUCCUUUGUAGGAAAUUGAUUAGAUAGGCAACAGGUUCUCAACAGCAAUAACAGAAACCAAAAGUCAGUAAGAUAAUAUAUCCAAAAUGCUAAGAGAAAAUAACUGUCACUUCUUCAUCCACUUAAAUUAUUAUUAAACAACAGAGAUGAAAUUAUUUGUUUUUAAUUAUCAAAGACUCUCAUGAAGAAGCUCCUAAAGAAUUUACUUCAAGUAGAAGAAAACUGAACCAGAAGAGAAUGAAUGAAAUCCAAGAAGGGAUACUAAAUUUAGACAAGUAUCAUCUGUGGAAAAUAACAAUAAUAUUGACAAAAAAUAUAUAUUGACAAAUUUUAAGGGUACCAAAUAAAGUGGAACUGAAGUAUUGAACAACAAUAUGUAAAAAGAGUGGGAGAUGUUUGGAUCUCUGAAGACUGGGAGGAAAAGCUGUUCUCAUCUUCCAAACUCUGAGACAAGACAUCCAGGGAAAAAUCACUGUCAGGACUGAGACAAGUUGUGGCAGAAGCUCCCACAUUACUGAAUCCUGAGCUGGAGGGACCCAGGAGACACCAGCAGUCAUUUUGCAGGAGAUACUGAUCAGCCCGACAAUGAACAUCUCUGAACUGUACUGCUAAUUGUGGGGGAAGCCAGGUACCAGGUUGUGAGGAGAUGCAAGUAGCUCAUGGAGAAGCUCAUAUGAAGAGGAACUGAGGCCUCCUGCCAAUGGUCAGCAGCAUGUAAGUGAACUACCUUGAAAGUGAAUCCUUCAGUGCCAGUAAAGCCUUUAGAUGACUGCAGCCCCAGUCAAAAUCUUAA